rnacentral:ncRNA from 1 species
CAAAGGCUUGGUCCUGACUUUAGUAUCAGCUUUAGCACAUCUUACACAUGCAAGUCUCCGCAGCCCUGUGAGGAUGCCCUUAAUCCCCUGCCCGGGGACGAGGAGCAGGCAUCAGGCACCACUCAUUUAAGCCCAAGACGCCUUGCCAUGCCACACCCCCAAGGGAAUUCAGCAGUGAUAAAUAUUAAGCCAUGAGUGCAAACUCGACUUAGUCAGUGCUAAAAGGGCCGGUAAAACUCGUGCCAGCCACCGCGGUUAUACGAGAGGCCCCAGUUGAUAAUUACGGCGUAAAGAGUGGUUAGGGAAUACUUAUAUUAAUGUCAAAGGGCCUCUAGGCUGUUAUACGCUUCUGAACGUCCGAAGUCCAAUCAAACGAAAGUAACUUUAAUUUAGCCCACCUGAACCCACGAAAACUGAGAAACAAACUGGGAUUAGAUACCCCACUAUGCUCAGCCAUAAACUUAGACGUUAUAGCACAAUAAACGUCCGCCAGGGUACUACGAGCGUCAGCUUAAAACCCAAAGGACUUGGCGGUGCCUUAGACCCCCCUAGAGGAGCCUGUUCUAGAACCGAUAACCCCCGUUAAACCUCACCACUUCUGGUCAUCCCCGCCUAUAUACCGCCGUCGUCAGCUUACCCUGUGAAGGAAUAAUAGUAAGCUAAAUGGACAUAUUCCAAAACGUCAGGUCGAGGUGUAGCGUAUGAAGUGGGAAGAAAUGGGCUACAUUUUCUAUCACAGAAUAUUUACGAACAGUAUACCUGAAAAAUUACUAGAAGGAGGAUUUAGUAGUAAAAAGGGAAAAGAGUGCCCUUUUGAACCUGGCUCUGAGGCGCGUACACACCGCCCGUCACUCUCUCCUGUCACCCAGCAGCACAUGUCUUUAACCACAAAGCAUCGACAAGGGGAGGCAAGUCGUAACAUGGUAAGUGUACCGGAAGGUGCACUUGGAUCAAACC